GUCGUAACAAGGUUUCCGUAGGUGAACCUGCGGAAGGAUCAUUACCACACCUAAAAAACUUUCCACGUGAACUGUCGUUAUUUGUUGUGUGUCUGCGCGUUGCUGGCGUGCGUUUGCUUACGCUUCGGUGUUUGCGAGUGCGUGCUGGCGGUGCGCGGACUGAACGAAGGUCGUGUUGCUGUGUGCCUGCUGCACUGCUGACUUUGCAUUGAUUUGCAUGGUCUUGGCGGAGCGGCGGGUGCUGUGCGUGCGCGGCUGACUUACUUUUUCAAACCCCAUACCUAACUUACUGAUUAUACUGUGAGAACGAAAGUUCUUGCUUUUAACUAGAUAACAACUUUCAGCAGUGGAUGUCUAGGCUC
rnacentral:misc_RNA from 1 species